AGCAGCCGCGGUAAUUCCAGCUCCAAUAGCGUAUAUUAAAGUCGUUGCAGUUAAAAAGCUCGUAGUUGGAUUUCGGGAUCAAUAUAUCGGUCGUGCCUUGGUACGUACUGGUAUCAUUGGUUUCUCCUUUCUGACGAACCAUGAUGUCAUUAAUUUGGUGUUAUGGGAAGUUAGGACUGUUACUUUGAAAAAUUAGAGUGUUUAAAGCAGGCUUUAGCUUGAAUACAUUAGCAUGGAAUAAUGAAAUAGGACGUUCGAACCUAUUUUGUUGGUUUCUAGGAUCAACGUAAUGAUUAAUAGGGAUAGUUGGGGCAUUAGUAUUCAAUUGUCAGAGGUGAAAUUCUUGGAUUUUAUUGAAGACUAACUACUGCGAAAGCAUUUUGCCAAGGAUGUUUUCAUUAAUCAAGAACGAAGUUAGGGGAUCGAAGACGAUCAGAUACCGUCGUAGUCUUAACC
rnacentral:rRNA from 1 species